rnacentral:rRNA from 1 species
GAUGAACGCUGGCGGCGUGCCUAAUACAUGCAAGUCGAGCGAACAGAUGAGGAGCUUGCUCCUCUGACGUUAGCGGCGGACGGGUUAGUAACACGUGGAUAACCUACCUAUAAGACUGGGAUAACUUCGGGAAACCGGAGCUAAUACCGGAUAAUAUAUUGAACCGCAUGGUUCAAUAGUGAAAGACGGUUUUGCUGUCACUUAUAGAUGGAUCCGCGCCGCAUUAGCUAGUUGGUAAGGUAACGGCUUACCAAGGCAACGAUGCGUAGCCGACCUGAGAGGGUGAUCGGCCACACUGGAACUGAGACACGGUCCAGACUCCUACGGGAGGCAGCAGUAGGGAAUCUUCCGCAAUGGGCGAAAGCCUGACGGAGCAACGCCGCGUGAGUGAUGAAGGUCUUCGGAUCGUAAAACUCUGUUAUUAGGGAAGAACAAAUGUGUAAGUAACUAUGCACGUCUUGACGGUACCUAAUCAGAAAGCCACGGCUAACUACGUG